UACAGAGGUCCCAAGCGUUGUUCGGAUUCACUGGGCGUAAAGGGUGCGUAGGCGGGUCUUUAAGUCAGGGGUGAAAUCCUGGAGCUCAACUCCAGAACUGCCUUUGAUACUGAAGAUCUUGAGUUCGGGAGAGGUGAGUGGAACUGCGAGUGUAGAGGUGAAAUUCGUAGAUAUUCGCAAGAACACCAGUGGCGAAGGCGGCUCACUGGCCCGAUACUGACGCUGAGGCACGAAAGCGUGGGGAG
rnacentral:rRNA from 1 species